UCAAGUGUAUUUAAAUUUUAGAGAAAAAACAGACACCACCAAAGUAUUUGAUCCACGGAAGCACCAUUUUAUCCUUAGCAGAAGACUUAUUUCCACUGCCUAAUCACAGGAUACGGCCGGCCCAUUUUAAGUUUUCCAUAUGUUGGUGGAAUAUUUUCACUCAUUGAACGAGUUUAGGACUACAAUAUCAUUAAACCAGCAUAAAAGAACGGUGGGGUUAUUUGACUCAAUUAAUUUCCUCAUUUUUUUUAAUUAAAAUAAUAAGAACAUCU
rnacentral:lncRNA from 1 species